UACAGAGGUCCCAAGCGUUGUUCGGAUUCACUGGGCGUAAAGGGUGCGUAGGUGGCAGUGUAAGUCUGAUGUGAAAGCUUCGAGCUUAACUCGAAAAUGGCAUUGGAUACUAUAUUGCUGGAGGUUUGGAGGGGGGACUGGAAUUCUCGGUGUAGCAGUGAAAUGCGUAGAUAUCGAGAGGAACACCGGUGGCGAAGGCGAGUCCCUGGACAACACCUGACACUGAGGCACGAAAGCUAGGGGAGCAAACAGG
rnacentral:rRNA from 2 species